AGUGAACGCUGGCGGUAGGCCUAACACAUGCCAGUCGAACGGCAGCACAGUAAGAGCUUGCUCUUACGGGUGGCGAGUGGCGGACGGGUGAGGAAUAAAUCGGAAUCUACUUUUUCGUGGGAGAUAACGUAGGGAAACUUACGCUAAUACCGCAUACGACCUACGGGUGAAAGCAGGGGAUCUUCGGACCUUGCGCGAUUGAAUGAGCCGAUGUCGGAUUAGCUAGUUGGCGGGGUAAAGGCCCACCAAGGCGACGAUCCGUAGCUGGUCUGAGAGGAUGAUCAGCCACACUGGAACUGAGACACGGUCCAGACUCCUACGGGAGGCAGCAGUGGGGAAUAUUGGACAAUGGGCGCAAGCCUGAUCCAGCCAUACCGCGUGGGUGAAGAAGGCCUUCGGGUUGUAAAGCCCUUUUGUUGGGAAAGAAAAGCAGCAGGUUAAUACCCCGCUGUUCUGACGGUACCCAAAGAAUAAGCACCGGCUAACUUCGUG
rnacentral:rRNA from 1 species